rnacentral:rRNA from 1 species
GACGGAGGAUGCAAGUGUUAUCCGGAAUCACUGGGCGUAAAGCGUCUGUAGGUGGUUCGAAAAGUCCACUGUUAAAAAUUGAGGCUUAACUUCAAAGAUGCCGUGGAAACUUUCAAACUAGAGUAUGGUAGGGGUAGAGGAAUUUCCAGUGGAGCGGUGAAAUGCGUAGAUAUGACGGAGGAACACCGAUGGCGAAGGCAAUCCCCUGGGCCUGCACGUGACGCUCAUGCACGAAAGCGUGGGGAGCAAACAGG